rnacentral:ncRNA from 1 species
CGAGCUCGUCGAAGAAGAAACAGCUACUGACAUCCAGGGAUGAGGGCUCAGAUUAGAGUGAACAAAAGGUCAACCUUUUAAACUGCCUGCUGAAUCCAUGAGCAGGCAAGAGACAACCUGGCGAACUGAAACAUCUUAGUAGCCAGAGGAAAAGAAAGCAAAAGCGAUUCCCGUAGUAGCGGCGAGCGAAAUGGGAGCGGCGUACGAUUUCCAACAAAUCUGUUGCUCG